rnacentral:rRNA from 1 species
UACGUAGGGGGCGAGCGUUGUUCGGAUUUACUGGGCGUAAAGCGCAUGUAGGCGGCUUGAUACGUCAGAUGUGUAAUGCAACAGCUCAACUGUUGGAUUGCGUUUGAUACGGUCAGGCUAGGGUACAGGAGAGGAAAGUGGAAUUCCCGGUGUAGCGGUGGAAUGCGUAGAUAUCGGGAGGAACACCGGUGGCGAAGGCGGCUUUCUGGCCUGUCACCGACGCUGAGAUGCGAAAGCCAGGGGAGCAAACCGGAUUAGAUACCCGGGUAGUCCUGGCCGUAAACGAUGGACACUAGGUGUAGGGCUCGUACAGGGUUCUGUGCCUUAGCUAACGCGAUAAGUGUCCCGCCUGGGGAGUACGGUCGCAAGAUUGAA